rnacentral:rRNA from 1 species
UACGGGGGGGGCAAGCGUUGUUCGGAAUUACUGGGCGUAAAGGGCUCGUAGGCGGCCAACUAAGUCGGACGUGAAAGCCCUCGGCUUAACCGAGGAACUGCGUCCGAUACUGGAUGGCUAGAGUGUGGGAGAGGGAUGCGGAAUUCCAGGUGUAGCGGUGAAAUGCGUAGAUAUCUGGAGGAACACCGGUGGCGAAGGCGGCAUCCUGGACCGGUAUUGACGCUGAGGCGCGAAAGCCAGGGGAGCAAACGGG